UCCCUGGUGGCUCAGUGGGUAAAGCAUCUGCCUCCAAUCCGGGAGACCCGGGUUCGAUCCCUGGGUUGGGAA
rfam:Ovis aries breed Texel chromosome 6, whole genome shotgun sequence.